rnacentral:rRNA from 1 species
UUCGAUCUCAAAUCAGGUAGGAUUACCCGCUGAACUUAAGCAUAUCAAUAAGCCGGAAGGA